CUGUGCCUACGGGGCGCAGCAGUGAGGAAUAUUGGUCAAUGGGCUUACGCCUGAACCAGCCACGUCGCGUGAGGGAAGACUGCCCUAUGGGUUGUAAACCUCUUUUGUCAGGGAGCAACGCCGGCUACGUGUAGCCGGACUGAGAGUGCCUGAAGAAAGAGCAUCGGCUAACUCCGUGCCAGCAGCCGCGGUAAUACGGAGGGUGCGAGCGUUAUCCGGAUUCAUUGGGUUUAAAGGGUGCGUAGGCGGAAUGCCAAGUCAGCGGUAAAAUCGCGGGGCUCAACCUCGCUCCGCCGUUGAAACUG
rnacentral:rRNA from 1 species